AUGAUCCCGCGGCGUAUUAGUUAGUUGGUGAGGUAAAGGCCCACCAAGACGAUGAUACGUAGCCGACCUGAGAGGGUAAUCGGCCACAUUGGGACUGAGACACGGCCCAAACUCCUACGGGAGGCAGCAGUAGGGAAUCUUCCACAAUGGACGAAAGUCUGAUGGAGCAAUGCCGCGUGAGUGAAGAAGGGUUUCGGCUCGUAAAACUCUGUUGUUAAAGAAGAGCACCUUUGAGAGUAACUGUUCAAGGGUUGACGGUAUUUAACCAGAAAGCCACGGCUAACUACGUGCCAGCAGCCGCGGUAAUACGUAGGUGGCAAGCGUUGUCCGGAUUUAUUGGGCGUAAAGCGAGCGCAGGCGGUUUUUUAAGUCUGAUGUGAAAGCCUUCGGCUUAACCGGAGAAGUGCAUCGGAAACUGGGAGACUUGAGUGCAGAAGAGGACAGUGGAACUCCAUGUGUUGCGGUGGAAUGCGUAGAUAUAUGGAAGAACACCAGUGGCGAAGGCGGCUGUCUAGUCUGUAACUGACGCUGAGGCUCGAAAGCAUGGGUAGCGAACAGGAUUAGAUACCCUGGUAGUCCAUGCCGUAAACGAUGAGUGCUAAGUGUUGGAGGGUUUCCGCCCUUCAGUGCUGCAGCUAACGCAUUAAGCACUCCGCCUGGGGGAGUACGACCGCAAGGUUGAAACUCAAAGGAAUUGACGGGGGCCCGCACAAGCGGUGGAGCAUGUGGUUUAAUUCGAAGCUACGCGAAGAACCUUACCAGGUCUUGACAUCUUCUGCCAAUCUUAGAGAUAAGACGUUCCCUUCGGGGACAGAAUGACAGGUGGUGCAUGGUUGUCGUCAGCUCGUGUCGUGAGAUGUUGGGUUAAGUCCCGCAACGAGCGCAACCCUUAUUAUCAGUUGCCAGCAUUCAGUUGGGCACUCUGGUGAGACUGCCGGUGACAAACCGGAGGAAGGUGGGAAUGACGUCAAAUCAUCAUGCCCCUUAUGACCUGGGCUACACACGUGCUACAAUGGACGGUACAACGAGUCGCAAAGUCGUGAGGCUAAGCUAAUCUCUUAAAGCCGUUCUCAGUUCGGAUUGUAGGCUGCAACUCGCCUACAUGAAGUUGGAAUCGCUAGUAAUCGCGGAUCAGCAUGCCGCGGUGAAUACG
rnacentral:rRNA from 1 species